ensembl:lncRNA
AAACAAUUUGAUUAGGCUCUAUCUAUAGGCUGUCAUUUCAAUCACUGUCACUGGUCCAAUAGAGUGGAAGGCAGCUAGCAGACACAUAUGGCAAGAUUUCUCAAAAUAAGAAACUCUGGCCUGAUUAGAGCCCUAGGUUCAGUGAAUUGGACAAGACAGCUCAGCUGCCAGGUUAUUAACUCCCUCAGAAAAUACUCUGCCUUUUCCCCGGGGCCAGCCUGAAUAUUCUGAUCUGGAUCGAUAAGCAAUCUCCGGUGUGUACAAAAUGCCAGCUAGAAUCAUUUGUCUCAGUGCAGUCUCCUUACAAAGGAUAAAACACCUGCAGUAUAUGGGCUUCUCUCCCUCCUCCCCCACCUUCCCCUUUUUAACUAAUGACCCACAGAGAAGGAAGAAGUAACUGAAUCUAUUCCAUCAUCGGGAAGGCUCUCUCAGAAUUUCCUGCGGGAAUUAACGGACCGAGAAGGAGACAAAGAGGAGAAAAGUGCAGAAUGAGAACUGCGCUCAUAACAUACAGGAAGACUCAAAGCUUUUCAAGAUGCUAAAAAUUCAACACAACGCUUGAGAGUUAAGGUCCUGAAACUGGUGUUUAAAAGUAGUUUGCAGUCUUGUUUCCACAAAACAACUGCUACAAAAUGGAUGAAAUAAAAUAAGCUACAUCCACAUGCUUUCAGGGAGUAGGCAAUGAUGUUUGGAGCAUGCUGGCAGCUGCUGUGAGUCAACUCUGAGGUGCACAGCUCUCUCCACCCAGUGAGAGGAAGCCCAGAUUGGACCAGGUAUGACUUAUGCUCAUGGUGGCAACACCAUUUAAUACCUCACUUUAGGACUCCUUCCCAAUCAUGUCCAUCCCCAGGAAUCUACCAGUACAGAAUGCUAGCUUGGCAUUUUCCUGUCCUCUUAGUCUCAAAUCGUGAGUGAAAC